rnacentral:rRNA from 1 species
GAUAAACGCUAGCGGCAGGCUUAACACAUGCAAGUCGAGGGGCAGCAUAGAUUGUAGCAAUACAAUUGGUGGCGACCGGCGCACGGGUGCGUAACGCGUAUGCAACCUACCCGUCACAGGGGGAUAAUCCGGAGAAAUCUGGUCUAAUACCCCAUAACAUAUGGAUCGGCAUCGGUUCAUGUUGAAAUUUUCGGAGGUGACGGAUGGGCAUGCGUAGCAUUAGCUUGUUGGUGAGGUAACGGCUCACCAAGGCGACGAUGCUUAGGGGGACUAGGAGGUUUUCCCCCCACACUGGUACUGAGACACGGACCAGACUCCUAUGGGAGGCAGCAGUGAGGAAUAUUGGUCAAUGGGCGCAAGCCUGAACCAGCCAUGCCGCGUGCAGGAUGACGGCUCUAUGAGUUGUAAACUGCUUUUGUACGAGGGUAAAGUGGGUUACGUGUAACCUUUUGAAAGUAUCGUACGAAUAAGGAUCGGCUAACUCCGUGCAGCAGCCGCCGUAA